AGUGAACGCUGGCGGUAGGCCUAACACAUGCAAGUCGAACGGCAGCACAGUAAGAGCUUGCUCUUACGGGUGGCGAGUGGCGGACGGGUGAGGAAUACAUCGGAAUCUACUUUUUCGUGGGGGAUAACGUAGGGAAACUUACGCUAAUACCGCAUACGACCUACGGGUGAAAGCAGGGGAUCUUCGGACCUUGCGCGAUUGAAUGAGCCGAUGUCGGAUUAGCUAGUUGGCGGGGUAAAGGCCCACCAAGGCGACGAUCCGUAGCUGGUCUGAGAGGAUGAUCAGCCACACUGGAACUGAGACACGGUCCCGACUCCGACGGGAGGCAGCAGUGGGGAAUAUUGGACAAUGGGCGCAAGCCUGAUCCAGCCAUACCGCGUGGGUGAAGAAGGCCUUCGGGUUGUAAAGCCCUUUUGUUGGGAAAGAAAAGCAGCAGGUUAAUACCCCGCUGUUCUGACGGUACCCAAAGAAUAAGCACCGGCUAACUUCGU
rnacentral:rRNA from 1 species